rnacentral:rRNA from 1 species
CACCUACGGGAGGCAGCAGUGGGGGAUAUUGCACAAUGGGGGAAACCCUGAUGCAGCGACGCCGCGUGUGGGAAGACGGUCCUCUGGAUUGUAAACCACUGUCCCCAGGGACGAAGAUGACGGUACCUGGGGAGGAAGCUCCGGCUAACUACGUGCCAGCAGCCGCGGUAAUACGAAGGGGGCAAGCGUUGUUCGGAAUUACUGGGCGUAAAGGGAGUGUAGGCGGUUUAGUAAGAUAGUGGUGAAAUCCCAGAGCUUAACUUUGGAAUUGCCAUUAUAACUAUUAGACUAGAAUUACAGAGAGG